rnacentral:lncRNA from 1 species
AAAGGGUUAAAUUGAAAUAAAAAAGAAAAAAAAGCUAAAUUCGAAAUAAAUCUGAAAACAGGACCACAUUGAAUGCGUGCGCAAGUGUGGAGGACCAAAAGGGAAAUUAUUCCCGCCUUCCAAAACGCUGCGCAGCAGCAUGGGCCAAAUUGAAACAGAAAUAAAAUUUGCGGGAAAAUUUAAAAGAAAUCAGAAGCUUAAUUUAAACACACCG